rnacentral:hammerhead_ribozyme from 1 species
AUCCAUCUGACGAGUUCUAAAUAGGACGAAAUGCGCAUCCUGGAU